UAGCUGAACCAUCGGACCUUAUUUGUCAGCUUGGAUCACGUGAUCCAUCCAGCUGCCGCGUGCGGCAAACAGCCCAAAUAGCGCUAACUCUGGCCUGCGAGCGUUUGCUGCGACUAGCGCGCUAGCGCUCGUGACAUACACAAACGCGCUAGCCAGAAUGCUUUGACUUUGAUGGCUUUCAGCUUCUAUUUUUUGAAAAGUAGCGCGCUCAGACCAGCUCGCUCACUCUUUUCCUCUUCCAUUUUUUAGGGCAAUUGUUUUGUUUGAUAGACGAAGCUUAGGGUCUCUUUGGGUUUGCAACCCUUACCCUCCUGGAAAAAAUCAUAGUUGUGCUAGACUGCGACACUUCAGACCAGGUACUAUUAGAGCCGCUAAUGGACGACGAGCUAUUUUCCGCUAUCCGGAGCUCAAGCAUUUGAGCCGCUAAAUGGACGAGACUCCUGAGGUAAAGGAUGCAGAGAAUGAGGAGAGAACACUCGUAUGGAGCAGGGAGUAGGUAGUGUACUACUUCCUGGUAUGGAGCACUGAGAAGCGCUUUCACUGUCCAGGAGCGACACUGACUCGCACUGCUAACUGGUGCUCACGAGGUGUUUGUCGCGCUGCAAACGGAGCGUCUCUCAUUAGGCGAUUUGAUCGCAGGACGAGAGAGGAGCUGAUGGACGAUCUCUCCAAUGUUCCACUUGGUUCGGAGCGGCGCCGAGUGCUGACGUUGGGACUUGGCCGGUGUGUGCACACCGCUAGCUAAACCGACCAACGGCUACUCCCAGGGCACAAACUAUUCUGCUGGAGGCAGCGUCGUCUUCGGCUGAAAUUCCGGAUACAACCUGCAGGGAAGCAUUGUGCGCAUCUGCCAGAUUGACGGUUCCUGGAGUGGGGCAGCUGCCUCAUGUAAUCCCAUUCAACUGCAGUGCCAGUCUGGCUACCUGCCCUGCCUGCGUUCCAGCCUGUGGCUGUAUCCUGCCAUCACAGCGCUGCGACGGUGUUUGGUACGACUGUGCUGAUGGCUCUGAUGCACAGUACUGCCCAGGCAAGGUCACACCAGCUCCAGGUCAAACCGACUGCCAGGUCCUGUCACCACCGGCACUGGGCUCAAUGACCGUGAACGGCUUGAUGUUCAGCAACACGACCACGUUUGUGUGCAGUCUCCCUAUGUCCUUAUGGGCUCGGUCGUGUGUACUUGUGAAAUCAACGGCCAGUGGAGCGGUGUGCAGCCAACUUGCGUCCUGACGACUGCUGCUCUGAGUGCGGCCAGUGACGAGCUAGUCAAGGACUCCGUCUCAGAACGCAUGACACAAACGUCUCCUGCUCCAUGCCCAUUGUUGGAGCGACAGUCCUGGAAUCCAGAGUUGCAAGUGAGGUGGUGAUACGGCAAGCAGACGGUGGCAAAAGUACGGCUUAAAAGCUCUACAUCUGGCAAGUGGCCGGCAUACCACCCCAAUGGACAUCGGAACAGUACACGUAGAGUAGCAUCUCUACGUGACAGGGUAUGAGCGCAAGCCAGUAUUGCCAAGCACUGGGGACCUUUGGCAAUCUGAAGAAUGUUUUGUCCGAGAAUCGAUCCUUGGAUCUGUGGCGUUGCAGUUGUGGUGCUCCCGACCCUCUUGCGCGAUGGCCGCGGAGACCUAGCGAAAAGGUUCGAGACAUACGGCAUCUCAAUAUCUUCCACCACAAUCAGUACAUCAGCACCACCAUCGAGUGUAGCGACAUCAGCAAUAGAAGACGCACAUGAUAUCAUCCACCCUUACGGCCUUAGCGAAGACCCGGGAAUACCUGAGAAGAUGUUAGCCGCAACUUUACUGGAAAAGUCGUCGGUGACAACGGCACUCCAUAUUUUAGCUGCAUGCAGUUAGGUCUCUCAACAAGUGUACCGAAAGUUUUCAAGCUAAUACACAAGCAAAUUCACUAGGGGCCGAGUAUAUUUUCCUACACCUCUCCCUGUUUGUUGUUGUUAUUUCUGCAUUCAAAUUGUUUGUGUACCUGUACAUUUAUUACAGUAGAGCCACGCAUCCACAGCUGUUGUUUCCAAGGGGUCAGGCUCGUCAGUUAUACAAAACCUUUCAGCAAUCUGGCCUUAGGCUUAGUUCCUUGACUUUUUGUACCACUUUCUUAGAUGCACAUCCCACUGGAUAGUGAGCAAUACGUGUGUACCAGAAUCUGUAUUCCAGAAAAGCAGAGACUCGAGUCUAUUGACACUGCGUUUCUUUUUAAAACGUUAUUGGCUGUGGUGUACCUAGAGGUAUACACGUACAUUCCUGGGUCCCACGUUCUGUGACGCCCGACUGUAUUCGUGGUGCCUCAACAACUUUUAAUUUUGUGCGCUCGGGAAAACCUGCCGGAGA